UGUCAUAAAUAUCCUAUAGACAUAGAUCUAUGACUAGCCAUCCUGACCAUUUGCUUGUGAUCGAAGUCAUCAUGAUGUUUCUAAGAAGUCAUUCCCAAACUGCAUGGCCACAGUAGAGGGCCUAUAAUGUAUUUUUUUUAAAAUGCCUUAAUCUUUCUUAAAGAUUAAAUAAAAAGAGAAAAAGAAAAAAUAAGGAGGGGGGAGGGAGGAGAA
rnacentral:lncRNA from 1 species